GCUGGGCAUGGUGGUGUGUGCCUGUAGUCCUAGCUACUCAGGAGGCUGAGGCAGGAGGAGCGCUUGAGCCCAGGAGUUCAGGGCUGCAGUGAAUUAUGAUCAUGAUUGCACCCCUGCACUCCAGCCUGGGAGAUAGAGCAAGACUCUGUCUUUA
ensembl:misc_RNA Metazoa_SRP Metazoan signal recognition particle RNA